UCUAGCUUCAAAUUUCAAUAUCCUGCAACCUAAAAUUCAACUCCAACCUAAAACCCCCAAAUUCAACUCGCCUCCUUUUGCAAUUCUUAAAUUCAAAUCGCCUCCUUUUGCGAUUCUCAAACUCAUCUCUCUCUCACACCAAAAUGUGGUGGAAUGUCCAUGGAUGAAGAAGCUAUUAGCCUUGAAAUUGCCUUCGUUGCUAGAUUUGUCUGGUUCCCGAUUCAGUUUGAGGUCAUGGUAGAAACCAUAGAUGAGAAAACCAGCAAGCACAAGUGUGAAUUGGAGUUACCUUGAUUAAGCGCAUUAGGGAAGGAAUCGACGCAUUUAGUUGGAGCAAGAACAAUCAAUCCAGAUACUCAAACGUCAUUAUUGCAACUAGAAUCUACCACUCAACAACCUAAGAAAAAAGAGAAGAGCACCAAAGUAUAAGAAGCGAGAAGUGCGCAACCAGGAAAGGUUGAUGAUAUGCCUCAAGAGGCAUUAGAUCGGUUGCAUUAAGGUAUGGAAACCUCACUAGUUUGGUUCUAAUUAGUUUUGGUUAAGACUAGUACAUGCUUUUUAAGGUGAAGUAGAUUGGUCAUGAGUUAGAGAACAGAAGCUUCAGUUAAUCAUGGACAAGAUUGGGUUGACGUAAAAGAGGUAAGUUUUAAUUUUGGA